rnacentral:rRNA from 1 species
CUCCUACGGGAGGCAGCAGUGGGGAAUAUUGCGCAAUGGGGGAAACCCUGACGCAGCAACGCCGCGUGAUUGAAGAAGGCCUUCGGGUUGUAAAGAUCUUUAAUCAGGGACGAAACAAAUGACGGUACCUGAAGAAUAAGCACCGGCUAACUACGUGCCAGCAGCCGCGGUAAAACGUAGGGUGCAAGCGUUGUCCGGAAUUACUGGGUGUAAAGGGAGCGCAGGCGGACCGGCAAGUUGGAAGUGAAAACUAUGGGCUCAACCCAUAAAUUGCUUUCAAAACUGCUGGCCUUGAGUAGUGCAGAGGUAGGUGGAAUUCCCGGUGUAGCGGUGGAAUGCGUAGAUAUCGGGAGGAACACCAGUGGCGAAGGCGACCUACUGGGCACCAACUGACGCUGAGGCUCGAAAGCAUGGGUAGCAAACAGGAUUAGAUACCCUGGUAGUCCAUGCCGUAAACGAUGAUUACUAGGUGUUGGAGGAUUGACCCCUUCAGUGCCGCAGUUAACACAAUAAGUAAUCCACCUGGGGAGUACGACCGCAAGGUUGAAACUCAAAGGAAUUGACGGGGGCCCGCACAAGCAGUGGAGUAUGUGGUUUAAUUCGAAGCAACGCGAAGAACCUUACCAGGUCUUGACAUCCGAUGCAUAGCUUAGAGAUAAGUGAAGUCCUUCGGGACAUCGAGACAGGUGGUGCAUGGUUGUCGUCAGCUCGUGUCGUGAGAUGUUGGGUUAAGUCCCGCAACGAGCGCAACCCUUAUUGCCAGUUACUACGUAAGAGGACUCUGGCGAGACUGCCGUUGACAAAACGGAGGAAGGUGGGGAUGACGUCAAAUCAUCAUGCCCUUUAUGACCUGGGCUACACACGUACUACAAUGGCGUUUAACAAAGAGAAGCAAGACCGCGAGGUGGAGCAAAACUCAAAAACAACGUCUCAGUUCAGAUUGCAGGCUGCAACUCGCCUGCAUGAAGUCGGAAUUGCUAGUAAUCGCGGAUCAGCAUGCCGCGGUGAAUACGUUCCCGGGCCUUGUACACACCGC